UACGUAGGGGCAAGCGUUAUCCGGAUUUACUGGGCGUAAAGGGAGCGUAGGCGGACUUUUAAGUGAGAUGUGAAAUACCCGGGCUCAACUUGGGUGCUGCAUUUCAAACUGGAAGUCUAGAGUGCAGGAGAGGAGAAUGGAAUUCCUAGUGUAGCGGUGAAAUGCGUAGAGAUUAGGAAGAACACCAGUGGCGAAGGCGAUUCUCUGGACUGUAACUGACGCUGAGGCUCGAAAGCGUGGGGAGCAAACAGGAUUAGAUACCCUGGUA
rnacentral:rRNA from 1 species